GAGUUGGUAGAGCGCUUGGCUGUUAACCAAGUCGUCGCAGGUUCAAGUCCUGCCCGGGGCG
rnacentral:tRNA from 1 species